rnacentral:lncRNA from 10 species
AAAAAGCAAACACCAAGGAACUUCAUGUGAAACAGAAACUAGGUUAGUGGUCUCCAAUCUGAUCCCAAGAUUUGAGAGGCGGUGCCGUGCCCCAUAGGUGCUACAUUGUUAAGGCAUAAAUACUUAUUAAAGUGUUUUGAUCUAUUUAAAAAGAGAGCCUUGGGUAUUAUUUCUUUUGGCCAGGGGCUCUGUGAAAAAUUUCCUGAGAUACUAACGUGCUGUGAACCAAGGCAGUUUCGGAACCUCUAACCUAACUCAGUAGGCUUCAAUGAAGACCGAAUAAGAUGAUGUCUGGGAGAGUACUUUGAAAAGUUGAAGGCAGAAGUUGGCAAACUUUCUGUAAAGGGCCAGGCAACUACUCACUUCUGCUGAUGUAGCACACAUUGAAGGCGUCAAAUGGAUGGGCAUGUUUUCUAAAAUAACUUAUUUACAAAAACACUUGGUGGACUGGAUUUGGCCACCUAGGCCAUAAUUUGCUAACUUCUGGUCUAAAGUGUGUCCUAGAGUGCAUGAAAGAAGCUGGAGAAAAAUCACCAUGGAGUUUAUCCUGGUUUUGCCUCUCAUGGAAAGAAGAGAGACAACUGAAGCCUCAAUCCAGAAACAGGUAAAUGUAUUACCUGCUUCAAACUGAUGGAUGGACAGACAGAAAGAGCAGCAAACCAACAAGCCUCCAGCUCUCAGGCCUCUCACCUCUGGCCUUGCAUUUUCUUAAGUGUGGGUCAGCGUUAUAAGGAAAUCAGACAAAAAUACAGGU